AAAUUUUUCUUUUAACUUAUUUUCAAACAAAAAUAAAAAAUUAUAGUCAUUUUUUUCGGAGAGACAAAAUUUGCUGAAGACGUCAUACCAAUAAAAAAAAAACCUUUAAACGGCACUAAAAAUAUUUGAAUCCUCAAUACCUUCCCAAAAUAGCAUUUUCAAAUAGCUCCCCAAAAAUGAGUCGUGUUUCAAGAAAUUAAACCAAUAGCACAAAAUGACAUUUUUUACCCAUAGAAACAUCUAUGAAAAUUUUCAGCCAAAUUAAAAAUGGUCGGCUCAAUUGGUUGCCCGUUUUUUUGUAGAAUUGCCCUUUACAAAAAAUUACAGUCACCUAUCAGUGAAAGUAAAGUAUGCGUUCAUCAUUUUUACGAUAGUAAAUUAAUCUGUAUCUACUAUUAGGGGUUAUAUACUAUUAUGUUUGUGAGAAAUAAUCGAAAUUUUUUAUUUCUCUUAUUUGAAAGGAUACGGAAUUUCAGAAAUUGCAAUUAAAAAUCGGGUAAUCGCUCCAUUAUUCAUCUCAACAGCUUGGUGCACCUAUAUUCAUCUUAUUUCUCUCAUUUGUCCAAUUUUACGUCAAAUUUCUACAAAUUUUUGAAAGUAAAUCUAUUUGCUUCUCGAUUUUCUCAAGUGGCUGAAAGUUUUACGUUGAAAAUAUGGUGAAGUUUGACGAUAAAUUGAUCAAAAUGGCGUGAUGAGAUAAAUAUAGGUACUGAGAUGAAUAUAGGAGCGGUUACCCUUUUUGAUGUUUUAGACUAGAUUAUCUUCAAUUUAAAAAUCAGAAAGGUCUGAGCUGUUGAACCGAUUUGGCAGCUUUUGCAAGCGCGUGAUCUACUACUGCUCGCGACACGCAAGUCACACUUUACGAGAGAUUAUCUCGAAACUAUUUUGUUUCAACAAGUGUGGUUGUGGUGACACAGUUUUUGGAGAACCGUUAACCCGAUCAGCCUGAAUGUUGGCAGGUUCGUUCAUAACAAUAAUAGUCUGCUCGGGAACGAAAAAACUUGAACUUCAAGCAACCAAAAUUUUUGACGUUUUACCUGAAACUUAAAAAACGAUCACCAUUUUUGUUAAACAAAGGUAAUCUUGCAAAAUCUUUCGUUCAGGUAGAGCGUAUAGGAUUUUUUUGUGUUUCUGAUAUAUAAUUCUUUCUGUAUCAUGAAUGUCGGAAAAACUAUAUUUUCCUACAUGAAUUCCAGUGAGUCCACUCAUUAAUAUUUUCUUUUGAAAACAAAAGUUGGUAAAGUCUCAUGAUAUGUUCAAAUACUAAUUAACUUUUUUAAAACAUAACGUGUACCUACUCUAAAAAAACAAAAAAAUACUUUUGAUCUCUUAAGAGCUUUAAAUUCAAAAGCCUUGUUCAGGCGUUUUUAUUGAAAACAACUAAAAGUGCAUCAGUCCUAGAACAUUGCAGAGGCUCAAACAAGAUGAAUAAAUGCAGGGUUUUUAAACCUGGUUCGAACUAGUUUCAGUGUUUUUCAUGAUACAUAUGGAUUGAUCUCAGCGUUUCUUGAUUUCAAUGGAUUUACUUUUGAUGAUAGAGAAAAAAUCAUCCUGGUUCGAACCACGCUGAAGUUGAUUCCCGAUCCCUACUGAUCAAAUCGAGCAAACAAUUUCUUACUCCUGUAAAAAUGAAAUAUUCUAUCAAUGACUCAACAAAAUACUGCAUAGGGGUCGUUCCUAAACCACGUGGUCAUGUUUUGAUCACUUUCCAUACCCCCCGUACCCCCCGUGGUCUUUCGUGGUCUUUUGGCCAUUCCCUCCCCCCUUGCGACUUUAACCACGUGGUCUUUUCAUUUGUAAAGUGCCAAAAAAUCCCAUAAAUUUUUCCAUUUUUAUUAUUAAACUUUCAGUACAUUCUUUAUUUCUAAAACACAAGAGCUUCAUUCUUCACUUGGUGGCAACAAUAAAUUAUAAGUCAGGAAAAGAGACCACGUGGUCUUAUCGUUAACACCCCGUGCGUGGUCUUUUGACAAACCCCCCCAUCCCCCUCUUUAUGACCACGUGGUUUAGGAACGGCCCUAUAGCAUACUGAUUGAAUAAUAAGUUUGAUAAAAAUAAAUUCUUUAUCGAAAAUAAUUAGACUAUUUGACUGAAAUAUAAAAAAUGCGUACCACGAGCAUCGGUAGUUCGAAGUGGGGCAUAGCCGCAAGGCUACAGAGUCCGCUUCGUUAAGCGGAUGCUUUAUGUUAAUUACGAGCGGGAUCUGUAUGUUGCCGCAGCCAACAGGAAGCUGAGACCUAUAUCUGGUGUGCUUCAAGCUUCCCAAUGCCGAACUUAAGUGAAACAAACCAGCACAAGGGCACUCGAAAAAAAAAUAACAGAAAAAAAACUCAAAAGUUGCUGUAAUUGUACAUAGUUUAUGUUUUUAAUUGUGAAUACAUCAAUUUUACAUUAAAUAUCAUUGUUCAGAAUAAUAAAAAACCCUGUGUUUGUCAUUUUCAUUCAUUGUUAUGUAUCUUAACAGCAAUUUUUUAGGCAUUUUUCAUAAAUUUAGAAGUCACUGACAAUGUCUUCCAUGGUAAAAUUAUUGUCGAUGGUAGACAAAAGACAUUGAGACUACUGCUGCUGCUGCUGGGACUAUUGCGACUGUUGCUGCGACUGGUACCGACGAUGAAUUGUUGCCUCUAAGCAGCUCCUUGGAAACUCUUGGAACAACAUUACACCAUGGUUCAACGAUCAACUGGAAAGUUCAGAAAGCUCCAAACGGAUUGGUAGACUUGUCUCUGCGGGAAUGCUAAGAUACGAACGAUUCAGCGAUUGCGACAUCGAUCGGGCAAACAUGUCAACACAAUUACCAGGAAAUGAUUCCAGUAAAUAAACAAAAAAAAAAAUCUUAAUUCAAUUCAAUUCAAUCUGUUUACGAUAUUUUAGAUGUUAAAAUGAUUAAAAUAAACAAAAAGAGUAAAAACUAAA